AGAACGAACGCUGGCGGCAGGCCUCAAACAUGCAAGUCUAGGGGAUGUAGCAAUACAUCACCGGCGGACGGGUGCGUAACACGUGGGAAUAUACCUUUCGGUACGGAACAACGCAGGGAAACUUGCGCUAAUACCGUAUACGCCCUUACGGGGAAAGAUUUAUCGCCGAAGGAUUAGCCCGCGUUCGAUUAGCUAGUUGGUGAGGUAAUGGCUCACCAAGGCUCCGAUCGAUAGCUGUUCUGAGAGGAAGAUCAGCCACACUGGGACUGAGACACGGCCCAGACUCCUACGGGAGGCAGCAGUUGGGAAUCUUGGACAAUGGGGGAAACCCUGAUCCAGCCAUGCCGCGUGAGUGAUGGAAGGCCUUCGGGUUGUAAAGCUCGUUUUACCGGGAAGAUAAUGACUGUACCGGGAGAAUAAGCUCCGGCUAACUUCGCGCCAGCAGCCGC
rnacentral:rRNA from 1 species